GUCUACGGCCAUACCACCCUGAAUGUGCCCUAUCUCGUCUGAUCUCGGAAGCUAAGUAGGGUCGGGCCUGGUUAGUACUUGGAUGGGAGUUAUAGACA
rnacentral:rRNA from 1 species